rnacentral:rRNA from 1 species
AUACGUAGGGGGCAAGCGUUGUCCGGAAUGACUGGGCGUAAAGGGCGUGUAGGCGGCCGAUUAAGUCUGGAGUGAAAGUCCUGCUUUCAAGGUGGGAAUUGCUUUGGAUACUGGUUGGCUUGAGUGCGGAAGAGGUAAGUGGAAUUCCCAGUGUAGCGGUGAAAUGCGUAGAGAUUGGGAGGAACACCAGUGGCGAAGGCGACUUACUGGGCCGUAACUGACGCUGAGGCGCGAAAGCGUGGGGAGCGAACAGGAUUAGAUACCCUGGUAGUCCACGCGGUAAACGAUGAAUGCUAGGUGUAGGGGGUAUCGACCCCUCCUGUGCCGGAGUAAACACAAUAAGCAUUCCGCCUGGGGAGUACGGCCGCAAGGUUGAAACUCAAAGGAAUUGACGGGG